GAGCAAAGCCUGGGAGAGCAGCCUGGAGCCAGCACCCAAGGGAGAGGAAAAAUGUCGUUUGCAGGCAAAAACAAAGCAGAAUGAAAGAGCAACAGACAGAACACGAUUCAUGGUUGGAUGAGAGCUCGCAGAGCUGGGAGCCAGCCGGCCGGUGGUCAGGCACUGGCCACCCACCAGCCACACGACUUCAGGCCAGUGACCCCAUGUCUCCAGGCCUCACCGAACUGGGGGAAUUCAAAAAGUCACUUCAGGUCGGCCAGCCCUCCACAAUGUGCUCCCUGGUCUGGAAGCUUCCUCCAUGGUGUGUAAGGUGAUAGCACUGUUGGCCGGUGGCCCCGCUGAGUGACCUAAGCUGCUUUCUCUUCUGGAAUGUAGUGAAAGGCCCCAUGCUUCAUGGAGGGCGGCCCUGAGGACGAGGGUCAGGGCACGCAGGAAUGCUCUGGGCUGCUGGUAUCUUUGUGGGGGUUAGUUUGCUUGUGGCAAUGUCUGGGUAGCAGAAAGGAAUAAAA